ACUUCCGGGGCCCGCGUCCCCCGGCGGCUUCGCCGAGAAGGGGCUUUGGGAGCUUAAGGGCGCCGGCACGCGUUCCCCUGGCGCAGAGCUCGCUAGCCGGGGCGCGGGCUGCCUCCUUGUUCUGGUGUGAUCCGAAUGUAACGGAGCGGACUUUGGGAUCCAGAACCCCGGACUGAGGUUGUGCUUGGCUUGAGGGGCGGGCUGGAUUUUUCCUCUUAGGAUUUAUUUCCCUGGAGACCUCAUGAAGAAUGAUGUGGGUUCUAUAGGGUACAGUGUGAUCUGGGUCCUGCCUAAUCUCCUUUCUAAACUUCAGAAAAUCAUGUACCUUGGAGUUGUGGAGGCAUGUUUAUAAGCAGAUCUGAGUUUUGCCACACUGGAAUUUAUUUAUUCAUUGAACAAAUAUUUAAUACCUACUACAAUUCUUAGCCGAUAUAUCAGCACAACUUCUCUGCUCCAACUAGUCUACAUUGCAAAGCAUCUCCUAGUGUCUUUGGAAGAAGGAUCUAUGGUGUUAUAUGUGAACAAAGAUGUAGACUAGUAAGGUAUCAAGAUUUGAUGGGGAUAUCCAGACAACUUGGAGCCAAGUCCCCACAGCUGGAUCAGACAACUUUUGGUGACAUCUCACAGUGUGGAUUAUCAAGCCAGUGUAUCAGUCUGGAGCCUAGGUUUUUUGCCUUUAGCUUUGCUCAGGAUGACUUCUGCUCUUCUAUGGCAAUACUUGAGAAGCUACAGCUUUGAUUAGACGAGAGGCUAUUUCAAUAACUUUCUCCUGAUAAGAAGACCACCGACCGUGGACGGAUUCUGGCCAGUUUACAAAGGCUGCAUACCAUAGGGCAGGGCACCCCACUAUGGCAAACACUAAUAAUGAUAUUGCUCCUGAUUUUGUUUCUGAAGGGAAUGCCUCUAAGAUUUCUUCAUUAAUUAUAAGAGACUGGGUCUCACUCUGUUGCCC
rnacentral:lncRNA from 1 species